CAGCCGUAAACGAUGCGCGUUAGGUGUAUCGACGACCACGAGUCGUCGAGGUGCCGAAGGGAAACCGUGAAACGUGCCGCCUGGGAAGUACGGUCGCAAGGCUGAAACUUAAAGGAAUUGGCGGGGGAGCACCACAACAGGUGGAGCCUGCGGUUUAAAUUGGACUCAACGCCGGAAAUCUCACCGGAUAAGACAGACAUAUGAUAGUCGGGCUGAAGACUCUACUUGAUGAUCUGAGAGGAGGUGCAUGGCGUCAGUGACU
rnacentral:rRNA from 1 species